rnacentral:rRNA from 1 species
AAUGGACGAAAGUCUGACCCAGCAACGCCGCGUGAAGGAAGAAGGCUUUCGGGUUGUAAACUUCUUUUAAGGGGGAAGAGUAGAAGACGGUACCCCUUGAAUAAGCCACGGCUAACUACGUGCCAGCAGCCGCGGUAAUACGUAGGUGGCAAGCGUUGUCCGGAUUUACUGGGUGUAAAGGGCGUGCAGCCGGGAAGGCAAGUCAGAUGUGAAAUCUGGAGGCUCAACCUCCAAACUGCAUUUGAAACUGCUUUUCUUGAGUAUCGGAGAGGUAAUCGGAAUUCCUUGUGUAGCGGUGAAAUGCGUAGAUAUAAGGAAGAACACCAGUGGCGAAGGCGGAUUACUGGACGACAACUGACGGUGAGGCGCGAAAGCGUGGGGAGCAAA